rnacentral:lncRNA from 1 species
AUCAGAUAGGAUGUAUAGACAUACGUAGUUAUAUAUAUAUGUAUAUGUAAAAAACUACGAAUGUAUAUCUAGAAAUAACAAGACGAAUGAAAUACUUCAUGUAAAAUACAAUUAAUUAACGACAAGGUAACAAAAAUACUUAUUUACUUCCAUCUUCAUAUUCAAAUACUGAGUAAUAUUUUUGUUUGACUAUUCUCUUCAGAUUUUUAUGUCUUCAAAUGCGUUUUGGCACUUUUCUGACAAAUUCCAUUUUACUUCUUUUUUUCCCAGUAAAUCGUUUAAUGGUGUUCUCAAUUUAUGUAUAUUUAGAAUGUACUGUUGAUAGUAAUUUACUAGGCCAAGGAAAGCUUGCAAUGUCGGUAUAUUCGUUGGAGGCAGCAUAUUCUUGAUUGCGUCUGCUCUCGACGUCUUCCAUUCUUAUCUAUGAUUUGACCCAGGUAUUUGAUUUUAGGCAAAAAAAAAAAAAGAAAAAAUUCACACUUCUCUUCACUGAGUGUGAAACCACAAUUCUUAAUUUCUUUAAAGUCACACUUCACGUAUUCGAUAUGCUAAUUCCGCGAUUCGCUUUUGAUUAACACAUCAUCAAGGUAAGGAAUAGCAAAUUGAUAGUCUGCCAACAUCGCGUCCAUCAUCUGUUGAAAUAUUGCAGGUGCUACCUUCAGUUCAAAAGGUAGUCUAUUGUAUUUGUAUAGAUCUCCGUGCGAGUUGACCGUUAACAGCUUUGAGCAUUUUUAAAAUCUACUUUGAUUUGUAGAUAUACGUCAGAUAGAUCGAGUUUUGAAAAUAUUUUCCUCUGUUUAGUUUUGUAAAAAUAUUUUCUGGGGUCUGUAGUAGAUAAUGGUUCAUUUUUAAACAGUCAUUUAAACCGGUCGAAAAAUCGGCGCACAACCCAAUUUUGUUUUCUUUUUCUUUUUAUGCAUACAGUCGGAACUGCCCAUUUCGCGUACUCCACUUUUCCAAUAAUUCCGUUUUUUGCCAAUCUGUCCAACUCACCAUCCCCUUGCUUUAUUUCCGCAAAGGCACUUUCUUAUUAGGUUUAAACACAGGUGUAACGUUAUCAUCUAAUUUAAAACACGAUUCAGUCUACUUAGUCCGAGAGUACUUGCGGAAACAUUUAAAAAAAAUUUUCGCUUAACUUUUCAGACGAAUUAUUUUUAGAAGGACAACCAUCUACGUUUUUACAAUAGAGAUUUACGGGGAGGUCCCAUAAAUCGAAUAAUUCUAACCAAUCGGUACCAAACAGAUCGGUUGCAUUUUUAACGACGAAGACUUUCACCAUGCAUGUUUUCCCUCGAAAUGUGACAUUAGUCCACAUUUCGCCUAUGAAAUGUAAUUUGUCGUCCGUCACGCUACCAGCAGAUUUCGCUGUUUUUCUCAAUAUAAGUUUCCCUAUUUUCUUCAGUGUGUCCACAUUUAUUAUUGAAACAUCACAUCUAGUAUCCAAUUGAAGUUUAAUAUGUAUUCCAUUUAUUUUUAUGUGUACGAAUUUUCUUAUUUUGGAGUCGAUUUUUGUUUCUGUUGAGAGCACUCUAGGGUUUUAACGUUUGAUAUUCGUAAUUUUGUUCUGCAGUCUGCACUCUAGUGACCAAUUCUUUUGCAACUGUAACAUUUUUGAUUUUUAAAUGGACAGACUUUUCCGAAAUGUAUGCCCCUACACCCAUAACAUGGAUUAGGACGUUGCUCUCUUUUCUGGUUGUACUUUUUCCGGUCGGCAUAUCAGUAUUCUUGAGGCAUCCUCUUCUUGAACUUUUUCUACUCCGUGUUUCAAGUUUACCAUCCUUUGGCAUUCUUUUGCCAUGAACUGUAAACUUAGUUCUUGGUUCGCUUGUUUCAAUUUAGAAAGAAUUCUUGCUUGAAUUUCUGUAUCUUCGCUUGCUGUAAGGCCUUGUACGAAAAUAAGACACUUGAAUGUCUCAGGUGUAAGUACUUUGGGAUCUUUUCGGUUUGAACGGCAGUUUUUUCUAGCGGUGUCAUAUGAAAUUAUUACCCAUAAUUAUGACCCUAGAAUCGAUCUAUUGCAUUUCAAUCUGUUUUAGGGUUAGGGGUGGGGGGAAGGUUAUCUUUUUUUCUUCACAAAUGUAAAUAAACCCAAUCUGUUUCUUAAACGAGGAACAUAUUCAUACGGCACAGAAUGCUUUUUAACUCAAUAGACGUCACUGUUUGGUUGAAAUUGCAGAAAUUGAAGGAAAAAAACGACAAAUAUCUUACAAACUAUAGAAUUUUCUCAAUAAAGCCAAGAAAAAAAGAUGUUUUAUAAACACAUUUUACCAGUAUACGAAGUUUAAAAUGUUUUAGUUACCUAGAAAUUAUGUUAAAAACUGCCGUUCAAACCGAAAAGAUCCGUACUUUGAGUUUAAAACUUUCACACAUCUUAUUGAGCGUUCCUGCGUCUGUGAUAAAAUCAUCAUUCUCUUUUAUCGUUAUAUUCCAACACUCUAUUCGAUUGUUCAAUAGUAAAGUUUUAUCACCGAAUAUGUUAGACAGUAAUUCUAUUGUUUUUUAAAAACAAAUUUCAUUGUAUUUUGGGGACAAUAUGGAAUUACGGUAACGUUCAUGCUCUAACGGCACUAAUUUUAGCAAUAACAAUCUCAUUUUUUGUUCGUCUGACCAUGAUUUGUAAUCUUGCUUAAAAAUCUCGUACCUUCUGUAGCACGAUGCACAAGUUAGACCCUCCUCUGAAUUCAUUAUUCGAGUUCGAAACGCUGUCUGUCGAAAACGAACUUACCUAAUUUUUAAAUUUCUUUGAAUAUAGCUUCAAUAAUUGUUGUUGUAGUUGUUGCUGUAAUAGUUGUUUCUGCAAUUCCCGUUGCUACUCUUGUUGCUUUAGCAACUGUGCUAUGGAAGCUGAUAGGCCUUCCCAUAUUUGACAAGUUGUAUCACAAAUUGUUAAAUAAUCUACGUGAGCUUCGAACCCACGUCGCCAGAUGUUGUGACGUAAUUUGUUACGUACAAUAAAUAACCCGACAACAGUAAAAACAAUAUAAUGAACUAACAAAUCUCUUUACGAACCAACAAUUAAUUUUCCUUGUGACUAACCAACCGGUACCUUCCGACUUAGCUGCGAAUUAACACCAACUUCACUCGACUCUUUUCUCUUUAUUAUAGGCAUAUAGCACUUUUUAUAGAAUGGGCAUUACAAAGACAAACGUCGGAUACAUAAAAUGAUUAACGAAUGAAUUAUGAAGUGUGAAAUUAUAAUAAUGAAAUGGCUUUCUACCCACCAAAGUAGAAAGUCCCAUUUUACUGUUUAUAUAAUCAAUGAUUUUUGUCCAGUAUGUAUCAUGAUUUAUAUUGCAUAAGGCAUUAAGUCUGCAUUCAUGACCACUGGUGGCAAUUCAUCAUAUUGAAACCACUUUCUUGUAAUUUCCACUCUGCUUCCAAAUGUCUCUUUUAAUCUCGCCGCUCUUUCGUUCUGCAGUAGCACUGCUUUCAUAAUACGGUUCUCUUCAUUAUCUGCUAAUUUCACUCUUAUUACACCUUUCAUUUUUGCUAUUUCAACACUUUUCUCGCACACCACUAACAUUCGUUCAUAUUUUCCUUUGCGUGGCAUUCACGGCUGUAUCUUCACUCUCUACUAGUGUCUCCACUUCUAUUUGAUGUUCGUUUUCUUGUUUAUUCUGUCCUUCCUCCUUCUUACUCGUUGAAGGUUCUCCGUUGCCUCCUCAUUUCUUCUUUUCUCUAUUUUCUUUUCCUCCGCUUUCCUUUUCUUUUUCGGUGAAGAUUCGCUAUUUCCUUUCUUCUCCACGAAUGUAAACUCUAUUUCCCUCUCCGAUAUUACAUUCACUUCUAUCUGACGACCCUCGUGUUUCUGGGGAUACUUUGCCUUCAUGUGCCCCCUUACUCUAUAUUGGAAGCAUAUUGGUGAUCUACCCUCCACCAUGACUCUCAGUCUGGUCUCAUCGGGCAGAACUAUCUCUUCUAUCAUUUUGUGGAGGUCAGACAGGCCGAUAAGUACCAUCACUUCUAGACCAUACCCCACCAGUUGACCUCCGCUGUCUUUGAUAUUUUCAACAUCUCCACUCUCCCCCCGUUCUUCAUUGUCUUCGUAUUUUCACACGUUUGAAUAUACUGGUGCACAUGUACGUAUGUCUGAGUGUAAACAUGUAUGUGUGAACGUACGCAUAUCUAUAUAUGUGUGUGUACACACACACACACACACAUACGCGUAUUUGCAUGUGUAUGCUUUUUGCACUAGUCUGCACGCGCGCACGCGUAGGGCUGCAUGAGCUGGUUACAAACCAAACCUACCGGGAAAGACUGUGACGGCGCCGUUCAUUGAGUGGUUUAUUGUACACAUUUAUGUUGCCGACUGUUAUCUUUACCCGCCUCUUCCUUCUCCAUUUAUAAAGGCGGUGUAAGUCCCAAAGCCCUAACACCUGCCCACUCUGCAUGCCCGUCCUCCUCUGGCAUGUUCCUGUGGUCUGUUCGGUUGAUGUUUCUCUCUAACUUCUAUUUCAUUUACGAUUGUCUGACGAUAUGUUUGCUCUACGUUUUCCCUAGAAGUGUCACGUGUUUACAUUUAGUGUGACGUCAGGUGUUGCCGAAUACUGAAACAUAUGUAACAAGUGGAAUAAUGGAAUGCUAAGCUACGUCCAUGUUCUUUUCUCUUAUUAUUGUUGCGUUCUUUGUAUUACGUCAUAUACCGUCCUCGGAUGCGUACAACAUGCGUGUACAAGCGGCGGAGUUUAACAUAUCUAACAUUAGAGCUGAAACAUGUGUGCUUUAAUUGUCGGGUGUCGUGUUCAUCCAAUUGUGUGCGCGCGCAUGUGUGUGCGUGUGUGCGUGUGCGUUUGCGUGCGCGCGCACAGUUAUAUGAUAAUCAGUUUCAAUUAUGGCUUUGAUUCGGUCAUCAUCAACUUCAGUAGGUCGGCCAGAACGUUAUCAUCUUUGAGUGAAAAAUCUCCUGAACGGAAAUUUUAAAACCAUUUCUGACAUGUGCGUCCUGUUAAGCAAUCAACAAUAUAAACUUCUCUUUGUGAACUUCAACAGCUCUCUUGCCUUUACAAAGAUAAAAACGCAACAUAUGGCGAAAAUGUUCGUUUUUGAACUCCAUAUUAAAAUUGACACUGAACUAAUAGCUGUAAACAAAAUUACGCGCAUUUUGCUUCUAAAGUAAGUUAAAAGUAACGACUAUCAAAUGUCAAAAGGAAAAAAAAAUCAUAACAUGGACAUAAACCAUUUAAAAAAUCGUAACUCUAUCUGUUUGCGAAAAACGAAAUUACUAUCUUGCCAACCCAAUAUAUUAAGUUUAUAUGUCACCAAAGUGUCAGCUGCCAUAGAUUUCUACUAAAAUUUGCUUACCUAAAAUUAUCUAUAUUUCUUUUAUUUUAGGCAUGAAGAUUUCUACAUAACAAUGAAGAGGACGUUCAUUAUUGCUUUUGCUUACUGCAUGAAAAUGUUUAUUAAAGUGACUGCGAAUUGUCAAACGGACUGCCCUGAUGUUUGCAACUGUACUGAGAUUAAAUUUAACCGCUGUACUGCAAUCUGUAAAGAUCAAAAUCU